rnacentral:lncRNA from 1 species
UACAACUCAUAUCAAUGUUUUUCAUACAAUAUGAAAUACAUAAAUCACCUUUCUGCAUAUGCAUAAAGGAUUCUAUUUACGCAUUAUUUCUUUGGGAGUCAAAGGGGCACGUUCCCUUUGAGAAGGGCAACUUGCUAGUCUCACUAGAAUCGUCCUUCUAUUGAAGUUUAUCAUCAUAUGAGAAACUUCCUAGCAUCCAUUGUCUAUUAUUAGGGAUUGAUAUAAUCCAAUUAUAUCAUGAAAUAUAUCAUUAUAGAUUUCCAUCCCAUGUAUAUAGACUAUGUCUCCCAUAUACAUUCUAUCGUUUAUAGAAUGCUUAAAGUCAUAACUUUAACGAAGAAGCUUUCUUUUCAUUUCCAAAAUUAAUAUAUCAUAUAUAUUUAAAUUUUUAGGAACAUGAUUAACUCCCACUAAUCUUUUGUAAACCUAGUAAACAAAAGAUUCAUUUACAUCUUUAUGAGAAAUCAAACGAUUUGAUCCUUUUUCUCAUAAAAUGCAAAUAGCUCCCACUAACUUGCUAAGAUCCAUGAUGGAUGGAUCUCUACAACUUACAUGUCUUGUGAUUCAUAGUUUUAGACAUAUAUUAUCAAGACUAUCUUAAUAAUGGUUUCGGAAACCCAUAUUAUGUCAAAACAUUGAAUCACCAUUUAGUUGUAGCUAGCAAUCUUCGAAUUUAUUGAAACUAAGACUACGUCAAAAAUGGUUCCUUUAUAUGUUAACCAUUCUAUUUGAUUGUAGUCACCUUAAGCUACCAAUUAGCUUUUAAGGUUUCAUUAUUUCGAGUCAAAUGGUACUUUACCAUUUCCUUGAGUAUAUAUCGUAUAUGCACUCAAUGUAGU